UAAAUACCUAAAACAACAAUUUUAACUCUUUUGCCCUCUUUAAUAAUGAAGAAAAAAAAAACAAAAAAGGAUUAAAAUGACAUUGUUCUAUUCGAUUCGAUUUCCCGCAAACAACAAAGUGUUCUUUCGAAAAAAGUGUUCUACAAAAUCUUCAAUCUCACUAACAUGUUCUACAAAAUCUUCAAUCUCCGGUGAUUUUGGCAGAUUUCUUCGAUCAUAAUCUUCAAUGGAACAUUGAAAGGGACCAGUUCUCCCUAUCAAUUCAUCUUCACUACAAGUUUUGGACGUUUCUCGCCUUCGAAUUCAGUUUUUCAAGGCUUCGAAUUGACGUUUCUCGCAGAUUUUCUGAGCAAUUUCCAAAUUCGAUCGCAUCUUCAGCUUUGGAAAGAAUCAGUCUAGCAUCUUACCUUGGUACCUACGGCCACAUAACAGAUACGGAGGUUGAGGCAGAGAAAGACUCUAGUGUUGAGGCCGAGAAUGGGGAUGACUCUGAAGCAAAUACAUCUACUUCUACUACCGUAACACAAACAGAAGCUGAUAAUGACCAAUGUAUUUGAAAUUGUGGAGAAAAACAAAACAGAGAGUUCAUGUUGAGGUAUACUCAUUCAGGAAAGUCAACUACUUCUGCUGGUUUAAUGGGGGAGUCUUUUGGAAGACUUGGUUCUCUUGCUUUACAAAUUUGUGUUAUGACUACAAGUUUUGGGUGUCUAAUCAUUUAUUUGAUUAUUAUUGGGCAUUUAUGAAGAUAGCAAGUUAUGGAGCAAGAAAGGACCCUCAUUUCUAUCAAAUUCAAGUCACUUCUUCCAUGUUCAGUACAUAAUUGUUAUGUUAUGGUUUUCACUUCAAGUGAGCCUUAUUGUGUUGUUCUUUAAGGGUGGGAGUGAGGAAACCUUUGAAGAGAGUGUUGAGCUAGGAUCAAAAUUUUGUGGACAUAUCUCAAGUAAACAUUAUGUGAAUAUGAUUUUGUUUAAACUUUUAUAAUAUCAUUCUAGUAGAAGGCUACUAUAUCUGUUGAGGAUUUUGUUAAAAUUUUAGUAAAUCAAUAUAGUAAUAUUUUUUCCCUUA